CCCUUAGAUGUUCUGGGCCGCACGCGCGCUACACUGGUCGAUGCAACGAGUUUCUUUCCUUGGCCGACAGGCCUGGGCAAUCUUUGAACAUCGAUCGUGAUCGGGAUAGAUUCUUGUAAUUUUUGAUCUUAAACGAGGAAUUCCUAGUAAACGCAAGUCAUCAGCUUGCAUUGAUUACGUCCCUGCCCUUUGUACACACCGCCCGUCGCACCUACCGAUUGAAUGGUCCGGUGAAAUCUCCGGACUGGCGUGAGUCGGAGCAAUCUGACAAACGCCGGAAAGUUGAUUAAACCUUACCAUUUAGAGGAAGGUGAAGUCGUANCA
rnacentral:rRNA from 1 species